rnacentral:rRNA from 1 species
GACAGAGGUGCCGAGCGUUAGGCGGAAUCACUGGGCUUAAAGCGUGUGUAGGCGGACUCGUAAGUGCUUUGUGAAAUCCCACGGCUCACCCGUGGAACUGCUUGGCAUACUGCGAGCCUUGAGCCACUUAGGGGCAACCGGAACAAACGGUGGAGCGGUGAAAUGCGUAGAUAUCGAGAGGAACACCUGCGGCGAAGGCGGGUUGCUGGGCUGACACUGACGCUGAUGCGCGAAAGCCAGGGGAGCGAACGGG